rnacentral:rRNA from 1 species
GACGAACGCUGGCGGCGUGCCUAAUACAUGCAAGUAGAACGCUGAAGGAGGAGCUUGCUUCUCUGGAUGAGUUGCGAACGGGUGAGUAACGCGUAGGUAACCUGCCUGGUAGCGGGGGAUAACUAUUGGGAACGAUAGCUAAUACCGCAUAAUAGUAGAUGUUGCAUGACAUUGGCUUAAAAGGUGCAAUUGCAUCACUACCAGAUGGACCUGCGUUGUAUUAGCUAGUUGGUGGGGUAACGGCUCACCAAGGCGACGAUACAUAGCCGACCUGAGAGGGUGGUCGGCCACACUGGGACUGAGACACGGCCCAGACUCCUACGGGGGGCAGCAGUAGGGCAUCUUCGGCCAUGGACGGAAGUCUGACCGAGCAACGCCGCGUGAGUGAAGAAGGUUUUCGGAUCGUAAAGCUCUGUUGUAAGGGAAGAACGAGUGUGAGAGUGGAAAGUUCACACUGUGACGGUAUCUUACCAGAAAGGGACGGCUAACUACGUG